UACACCAUGUUGAUGAUUUGUACCUUUUUUAUAUUGUUAAACAUAUUCAUACUUCAAAAUAUUCGAUUUGGAAAAACAAAGAAAGAGCCACCUAGUUGAAACUUGCAAGUCUGAGAAUAUAAUUAUAGUUUAGUGAAGAAGGAAUCCCAGGAGAGUCUGACAUUCAUGACAGUAACUCAUUUACAGCAGGCAUCGAGGAUGAUGGAAGGAAGAAUCUAGGUUGCAUUCAGAUGGGUUUUUUAAUGGGUGAAUGAUCUUCUGGCAGAUAUGACGAUGACAUCAGGUUAGUGAAGAUUACAGAGGAAGCCUUCAAGGUGCUGUACAUGGAUUGGCUCCUAGACAAAUAUUGAAGAUUGGCAGUGAACUGUGAAACUGUUUCUGCAUAUUUCAGCAGACUGCAGCAGAUAGGGGUUAAGCAUAUGCUUUUUUUAACUUAUGAGUGUUUUGUAUCUAAUUGCUUCACCCAUCUUUAUAUAGCUAAAGAGUCGCAACAUCAAAGUGAGCUUUGUAGUUGCAGCCAUUCAUUUAGCAGAUAACUUCAUAUUUUUAUGUUCUAUGUUUAUCAGUAUUUUGUGCAAGUCAUUUUAAGCCUUCAGAUUGAUUUCUACUCAUUAAACCCAUGUCAUAAAUACAUGGCCAUUUGGGCUAAAUAUGUCAAUCAAUGCAUUGCAGAAACCAUCCACAUAUGAUUAUAGUGAUGGUAUGAAAAAAAAAAAAAACAAAUAAAAAAAAAUGGGAGUUGUCUAUUCA